rnacentral:rRNA from 1 species
UGCGUAGGCGGGCAGGUAAGUCAGUGGUGAAAUCCUGGAGCUUAACUCCAGAACUGCCAUUGAUACUAUCUGUCUUGAAUAUUGUGGAGGUAAGCGGAAUAUGUCAUGUAGCGGUGAAAUGCUUAGAUAUGACAUAGAACACCUAUUGCGAAGGCAGCUUACUACGCAUAUAUUGACGCUGAGGCACGAAAGCGUGGGGAUCAAACAGGAUUAGAUACCCUGGUAGUCC